CACUUGAGCAAUUGGCAAAGAGAUACUUUGUUGGUGGUACUGUUCAUCUAUCAAUCAGAGGUGGAGCAUAUGGCAGUCCUUUGUUUAUCCUAGCUUGAUGCCUAGCUUGGUAGCCAAAGCUAUCUUAUGCCUAAGAUUCAUAA